rnacentral:rRNA from 1 species
GACGAACGCUGGCGGCGUGCUUAACACAUGCAAGUCGAACGGAAAGGCCCUGCUUUUGUGGGGUGCUCGAGUGGCGAACGGGUGAGUAACACGUGAGUAACCUGCCCUUGACUUUGGGAUAACUUCAGGAAACUGGGGCUAAUACCGGAUAGGAGCUCCUGCUGCAUGGUGGGGGUUGGAAAGUUUCGGCGGUUGGGGAUGGACUGGCGGCUUCUCCGCUUGUUGGUGGGGUAGUGGCUUACCAAGGCUUUGACGGGUAGCCGGCCUGAGAGGGUGACCGGCGACAAUGGGACUAAGAGACGGCCCAGACUCCUACGGGAGGCAGCAGGGGGGAAUAUUGCACAAUGGGCGGACGCCUGAUGCAGCAACGCUGCGUGCGUGAUGCCGGCCUUCGGGUUGUAAACCGCUUUCGCCUGUGACGAAGCGUGAGUGACGGUAAUGGGUAAAAAAGCACCGGCUAACUACGUG